GGUGAACGCUGGCGGCGUGCCUAAUACAUGCAAGUCGAACGCUGGAAAUCUAGCUUGCUAGAUUGAAGGAGUGGCGAACGGGUGAGUAAUACAUAAGCAACCUACCCACGAAGACUGGGAUAAUCUCUGGAAACGGGGACUAAUACCGGAUAGGUAAUCGGAAGGCAUCUUCUGAUUAUUAAAGGUUAAAAACACUGGUGGAUGGGCUUAUGGCGCAUUAGUUAGUUGGUGAGGUAACGGCCCACCAAGACGAUGAUGCGUAGCCGGCCUGAGAGGGUGAACGGCCACAUUGGGACUGAGACACGGCCCAGACUCCUACGGGAGGCAGCAGUAGGGAAUUUUCGGCAAUGGGGGAAACCCUGACCGAGCAACGCCGCGUGAGUGAUGACGGCCUUCGGGUUGUAAAGCUCUGUUGUAAGGGAAGAACGGUAGAUAGAGAAUAUCUAAAUGACGGUACCUUACCAGAAAGCCACGGCUAACUACGUG
rnacentral:rRNA from 1 species